rnacentral:sRNA from 1 species
UGAAUUCCGUGCCGCGGUUGAGUAUGA